rnacentral:rRNA from 1 species
GGGAAUAUUGGACAAUGGGCGAAAGCCUGAUCCAGCAAUGCCGCGUGUGUGAAGAAGGUCUUCGGAUUGUAAAGCACUUUCGGCGGGGACGAUGAUGACGGUACCCGCAGAAGAAGCCCCGGCUAACUUCGUGCCAGCAGCCGCGGUAAUACGAAGGGGGCGAGCGUUGCUCGGAAUGACUGGGCGUAAAGGGCGCGUAGGUGGUACGGACAGUCAGAUGUGAAAUUCCUGGGCUCAACCUGGGGGCUGCAUUUGAUACGUCCGAACUAGAGUGUGGAAGAGGGUCGUGGAAUUCCCAGUGUAGAGGUGAAAUUCGUAGAUAUUGGGAAGAACACCAAAGGCGAAAGCACUCUGCUGGGCCGAGACUGACACUGAGGGACGAAAGCUAGGGGAGCGAA